UACGGGGGGGGCAAGCGUUGUUCGGAAUUACUGGGCGUAAAGGGCUCGUAGGUGGCCAACUAAGUCAGACGUGAAAUCCCUCGGCUUAACCGGGGAACUGCGUCUGAUACUGGAUGGCUUGAGUUCGGGAGAGGGAUGCGGAAUUCCAGGUGUAGCGGUGAAAUGCGUAGAUAUCGGGAAGAACACCGGUGGCGAAGGCGGGUCUCUGGGCCGAUACUGACGCUGAGGAGCGAAAGCGUGGGGAGCGAACAGG
rnacentral:rRNA from 1 species